UACGUAGGGAGCGAGCGUUGUUCGGAGUUACUGGGCGUAAAGGGCGCGUAGGCGGCAUUUCAAGUCAUCUGUGAAAUCUCCGGGCUUAACCCGGAACGGUCAGGUGAUACUGUUUUGCUAGAGUGCGGAAGGGGCAAUCGGAAUUCUCGGUGUAGCGGUGAAAUGCGUAGAUAUCGAGAGGAACACCAGAGGUGAAGACGGGUUGCUGGGCCGACACUGACGCUGACAGCGCGAAAGCCAGGGGAGCAAACGGG
rnacentral:rRNA from 1 species